rnacentral:rRNA from 1 species
UGGGNNANNNUGNNNAAUGGGGGGAACCCUGACGCAGCCAUGCCGCGUGAAUGAAGAAGGCCUUAGGGUUGUAAAGUUCUUUCGGUAUUGAGGAAGGUUGAUGUGUUAAUAGCACAUCAAAUUGACGUUAAAUACAGAAGAAGCACCGGCUAACUCCGUGCCAGCAGCCGCGGUAAUACGGAGGGUGCGAGCGUUAAUCGGAAUAACUGGGCGUAAAGGGCACGCAGGCGGUUAUUUAAGUGAGGUGUGAAAGCCCUGGGCUUAACCUGGGAAUUGCAUUUCAGACUGGGUAACUAGAGUACUUUAGGGAGGGGCAGAAUUCCACGUGUAGCGGUGAAAUGCGUAGAGAUGUGGAGGAAUACCGAAGGCGAAGGCAGCCCCUUGGGAAUGUACUGACGCUCAUGUGCGAAAGCGUGGGGAGCAAACAGGAUUAGAUACCCUGGUAGUCCAUGCUGUAAACGCUGUCGAUUUGGGGGUUGGGGUUUAACUCUGGCGCCCGUAGCUAACGUGAUAAAUCGACCGCNNNNNGGAGUACGGCCGCAAGGUUA